UACGUAGGGGGGCAAGCGUUGUCCGGAAUCAUUGGGCGUAAAGAGCGCGUAGGCGGCCCGGUAAGUCCGCUGUGAAAGUCCAGGGCUCAACCCUGGGAUGCCGGUGGAUACUGUCGGGCUCGAGUACGGAAGAGGCGAGUGGAAUUCCUGGUGUAGCGGUGAAAUGCGCAGAUAUCAGGAGGAACACCAAUUGCGAAGGCAGCUCGCUGGGACGUUACUGACGCUGAGACGCGAAAGCGUGGGGAGCAAACAGG
rnacentral:rRNA from 1 species